rnacentral:rRNA from 1 species
UACAGAGGGGGCAAGCGUUAUUCGGAAUUAUUGGGCGUAAAGGGCUCGUAGGCGGUUUGUCGCGUCGGGAGUGAAAACAUCCAGCUUAACUGGGUGCUUGCUUUCGAUACGGGCAGACUUGAGGUAUGCAGGGGAGAAUGGAAUCCCUGGUGUAGCGGUGAAAUGCGCAGAUAUCAGGAGGAACACCGGUGGCGAAGGCGGUUCUCUGGGCAUUACCUGACGCUGAGGAGCGAAAGUGUGGGGAGCGAACAGG